GGGGCUUUAGCUCAGCUGGUAGAGCACCUGCAUGGCAUGCAGGGGGUCAGGAGUUCAAGUCUCCUAAGCUCCA
rnacentral:tRNA from 1 species